GGGGCGGUAGUUCAACGGUAGAAUCAAGGUCUCCAAAACCUUUGAUGAGGGUUCGAUUCCUUCCCGCCCUG
rnacentral:tRNA from 1 species